UACGUAGGGGCAAGCGUUGUCCGGAUUUAUUGGGCGUAAAGAGCGUGUAGGCGCCAAGGUAGGUCAGCUGUGAAACUCGAGGCUCAACCUCGAGACGUCGGUUGAAACCACCUGGCUAGAGUCCGGAAAGAGGAGAGUGGAAUUCCUGGUGUAGCGGUGAAAUGCGCAGAUAUCAGGAGGAACACCGGUGGCGAAGCGGGUCUCUGGGCCGGAACUGACG
rnacentral:rRNA from 1 species